rnacentral:rRNA from 1 species
GACGAACGCUGGCGGCGUGCUUAACACAUGCAAGUCGAACGGAAAGGCCCUGCUUUUGUGGGGUGCUCGAGUGGCGAACGGGUGAGUAACACGUGAGUAACCUGCCCUUGACUUUGGGAUAACUUCAGGAAACUGGGGCUAAUACCGGAUAGGAGCUCCUGCUGCAUGGUGGGGGUUGGAAAGUUUCGGCGGUUGGGGAUGGACUCGCGGCUUAUCAGCUUGUUGGUGGGGUAGUGGCUUACCAAGGCUUCGACGGGUAGCCGGCCUGAGAGGGUGACCGGCCACAUUGGGACUGAGAUACGGCCCAGACUCCUACGGGAGGCAGCAGUGGGGAAUAUUGCACAAUGGGCGGAAGCCUGAUGAAGCAACGCCGCGUGCGGGAUGACGGCCUUCGGGUUGUAAACCGCUUUCGCCUGUGACGAAGCGUGAGUGACGGUAAUGGGUAAAGAAGCACCGGCUAACUACGUG